AUAUAUUGCCACCUGUUGGUACUGGGAUUGUAUUUUUCUCCGCACUUUUUUCUCGCAUGUCCAGCAAAGCCUCCUUAAUUAAUAUAAUUAUAUACAUUCAUCAAAAUGGAUGGAGAGUUGCAUAAACAUGGUCGUGGUAUGAAAUACAAGAGGCUCCACACCUGCGUGACCUCAUCGACGCUAUCAUAGUCCACUGAUCAGUAUCAGGAUUGUAAACUUCAGCUGUGCUCAGGCACUCGUGUCCAUUGAACCCUCCCACGAUGUAAAUUUUAUCUAUCGCCAAAAAACCGGAAAAAAUUGAGUUGCAGGACAAUUGCAAAUACGUCAUCAAUGCAGUUGUAGCACUCCCGUCAGAUCUCUGUCGAUUCAUGGAGGCAAUGAGUGACCACUGGUUCUCCUUGUAAUUGUAUCUCUCCACACUAUUGAGCCGACGGUGUCCGUUGUAGCCGCCAAUUGCAUAAAUCAUGUCAUUCAGAACAGCGACACUGACGUAACAUCUUCUAGAGUUCAUAGGGGCAACUUCCCUCCAGGUUUUCGUAACAGCAUUGAAGCACCGACAACUGCUGAAGUAGACUUUAGCUUCUAUGUUCGUUCCACUGGCAUUGUCGAAGCCACCAAUGACGUAAAUAUUGAAGCCAAUUGCUGCUAAUCCGUGAUAGGCACGACCUCCAAUUGGAUCCAUCUCAGCUAACUUGAAAAAGGAAUGUAAUUUCAUUUACGGUGUGUUCAAUGUGUGCCAUUAAAUGAAUAGAUUUUUAUCAAUGAUGACACCCACUGGAAUCCAGCGAUCGGCCCUGGUAUCAUAAGUCUCUAUAGCAGAAGUGGUUUUGUUAGCCCUCCAUCCUCCAAUAGCGAACAAGAUCUCAUGAGGAACCCUCGGUCUUGCAAUCUCCGGAGUGGCCAGCUGUCCAUCCUUCUGGGUAAUCAUCUCCAGAUCGUAGAGAAACGUGAGGGUCUCGAUGAUGAUCGGUCGACAUGACUCGACCCCAGCUACGUAAUGAUGCUCCUUCACUCUUUCCAGAAAGUACUGGGUGUCCAACAAGCCCAGCCUGAUAGUCUUCAAGAGCUCUGCAAUGUACUGCCUUCUCUCCUCAGGAUUGUGAUCAAUCCACUUCACCACCAAUUCCCACACGACAUCCUCGCUCUUAACGUUUAGCUCAUCAGCCCCCACUAAUGGCAAAAGUUUGUCAAUCGACAGCUUGAGGAUGUCUUCAUUCCUCUGAGCAAUAUCAACGAAGUUUUCCAUCAUGAAUCUGUGUGCAUCACGUUCCAAUUCAGUGCAGAAGUGCUCUUUACCGAAUAUCAUUACGGAUAUGCAGUUCUCGGGGGUCAGGUUCUUCUUCACGUACGCACAGCAGAGCUUGGUUAUGCCUGAUAUGCAGAGGUAGUUGGAUGUUAUCAGAAGUUCGCAGACGUUGUCGUGAGUUACUUCCAAGGAGCGCAGGUAGGCGUAUUUUAGGAUGAGUUCCAUUAUCUCGGAGGUGACACCCGGAAGAUGAACUUCCGUUUUUUCAUCGGUGUAGAACGAUGUGGUGAACAGAGUCCUGAAUUUUCGGUCAGAGGGACAAUGAAACAAUGGAAAAAUCGAAGAUUGGGGAAUGAUGAGAACCUGAAGUAAUUGCUGCAUGCUGAUAGUAUAGCUCGAUGAAUUGAAAAGACUCCGCCGUCUUCGAGAUGCACGACAGCGUCACAGAAUAAAUUAUUCUCUCUUAAAUCGUAAAAAGAUUGCAUAGCUUGAGUACUCAUGCAACGUCCACCGUAUUCAAGGACCAUCCCCUCGUCAUUAUCACCAGUUCCAUCCUUGCUCUUUACACUGGAAUUAAUCUCCAUCUUUUAUGCAAGAAAAAGCCCAAUUUGAAGCCCUAGAGUCCCGAUAUCUUGUAUUUUUUAUUUUUCAUUUUCUCCUCUUCAAUUUCUUCUCUCUUUUGCUGUAAUUUUACACUUCUUCGGCGUUGAACAUACAGGUGGGGUUAAACUUGAAAUUUUUCGGAUACCUUUUGGUUAACGAGAGAAUGAGAAGAUAGGGUUGAAACGGUUGAUGUAGUAACGCGCAGUAACAAAAGACAAUAAUCAGUCAACUGGGAAAAUAUUCAGGUACUAAUUUAUUGGGGUGGGGGUGGUGACAGAACAUUAUGGUAUUUAACUGUCAAUCAUCGCGGGGAUUAUUUUGCAGGUCCUAUCCAUAAACAAAUGACGUUUAUAUUUUUCAAUUCAAUUUCUCAAACUGAUUUCGUAAUUAGUGAGGGAAAGUUGAGCUCUCAAAUGGUUUCUCAAUAUUUAUCUGAUCGAUGCAACUAGCAAAAAAUCAGCGACUCCAAUAAAAAAUCCCAAGAUGAUAAAAAAUUCUCAUGAAUGUAACCGUUUUUUCUAUCAUAUGUUGUAAUGGGAAGACAUUACUUUAGUUUUAAAAUUAAGGGACCUGAAGAAGCGAGAUACUGUUUACAAAAUCGUUUAUUUUAGAAAUGAGAUUCUAAAAAAUUUUAGAGGUGUUCAAAGGUAGGAGAGUGAUUUGGAACAGGGGCUAUGUGAGAGUUCCUCUAGGGAACAGAAAAAUGGUGGAAAUGAGGAGAUUGAGGCGUGAGAGUUCUGAGAGCGCCCAAUAUCGGGGGUCCAUCUAAAUAUUGGAAAUUAAGGAGAAUGCGGACUUAUUUGGUUUUAAUGGAGAAUAUGUUUGAGGAUUUGCAGGAUUUCUGCAUAUGGGAAACGAGGAGAUCAGGAAGGUACACAACACACAUUUCCUACUUAUUUCAGAAUAUUUCACCCGAUCCCUCGGUAACUGCCUCAAAGUACCCCCGGGGAACGAGCCCCCUACACUUCCCGGGGCGAACAGAAAUAAACUCAUGAUCCGGUUUAAUCUCAGCACAAUUUUUAUUACAAAAAGACAUUCGCACAUAAAUAGAUCACCGUAAAGAGGCCUCACUAAGAAGCACUAUCCGACUCGACAAUGCCACCCUUUCCCCCGCCGCCGCCUUCCUCAGCAACAGCAGCAGAAUUACCUCUGGCAAUCGCCAGGAAGAACGAAUUAGCAUAGGCAUCACCAGUCCACAUAUUAACAAAAGUGUUCCAUUUAUUGCUGACACUCUCCUGUGUCUCCUGGACGACGCUGAUCCCCAGGCCCACACUCUCCUCCUUCUUGUGUCCGUCCUCCUGACCGCACAGUCUGAAGGUCCAAUGGACAACAGCAAAAGUUGCUGCAUUUGUUGGAAAGGCCCGAAGGAUGGUAGAGUUGAGGCCCUUGAAGAGGCAGGAGAUGCCCUCGUCUCUGACAGACUUCUUCAGGCAAUCGAUACUCCCCAGGAAUUUUCCAUGAACGUCCGCCUGGAGUCUAGACUUUAUAACAUCAAUUGGAUAAGUGAAGAUCCACGAGGCUGUCCCAGCAAGACCACCAGCGAUGAGCAUUGUCCCGGUGGACGUUGGUACUGUUGAUUCAGUCCUUGUGAGUGCCUCGUACGUCAAAAAAUAAAUUCCGUAACCCGGGGCUUCUCGGAGUGCUGUAAUCCCAAGACCUCGAAAGAUACCCGCGAGUCCUGCUGCCCUGUAGAUGUCCUUGAGACACUGAAUCGGUCCUGAGUACUGGCUGGGUCCUGUCGAUCGCAACUGCAUUCGAAUUUUUGCGAGUUCUAGGGGAGCUGCUACGGGAGACUGUGCUAGACCUGCUGCAGCACCUGCCAGGAAGUGGGUGGAGAGGUCGUCCGGAUUUGAGGACUGACGCUGAGCUUCACCGUAGGCACCAAAGAUUAGGGCGUUUAUGAAGGUCACACCUGCCAUUGGGGAGGACAUUCCGCGGUAUAGACCUGUGAUCUGGAAUUUUUUAUUCAUUUAUUUACCUGAAUGGUGGGAGAAGCCCAUAUCAUUCAGUAGAUAAUUCUAGGAAAAUUCAAUAGGAUCCAUGUAUUGAUGAAGACACUGAGGAUAAAAAAGGUUUCUCACCGAUUCCUUUGCCAGAAUUGACCGGAAACAGUGCCAUGUCCCUCUGAAUCGAGGGUUUUUGCUGUCUUGCGUUUGAAUAUGAACUUUUAUUGUAUCCAAAGGAUAUCCCACCACAAGACCGGCGCACCCUGAAAA